rnacentral:rRNA from 1 species
UACGUAGGGGGCAAGCGUUGUCCGGAAUCAUUGGGCGUAAAGCGCGUGUAGGCGGCCCGGUAAGUCCGCUGUGAAAGUCGGGGGCUCAACCCUCGAAUGCCGGUGGAUACUGUCGGGCUAGAGUCCGGAAGAGGAGAGUGGAAUUCCUGGUGUAGCGGUGAAAUGCGCAGAUAUCAGGAAGAACACCUAUGGCGAAGGCAGCUCUCUGGGACGGUACUGACGCUGAGACGCGAAAGCGUGGGGAGCGAACAGG